GACGUAGGGCGCGAGCGUUGUCCGGAUUUAUUGGGCGUAAAGAGCUCGUAGGCGGCUUGUCGCGUCGACUGUGAAAACCCGUGGCUCAACCAUGUGGUCUGCGGUCGAUACGGGCAGGCUAGAAUUCGGUAGGGGAGACUGGAAUUCCUGGUGUAGCGGUGAAAUGCGCAGAUAUCAGGAGGAACACCGGUGGCGAAGGCGGGUCUCUGGGCCGAUAUUGACGCUGAGGAGCGAAAGCGUGGGGAGCGAACAGG
rnacentral:rRNA from 1 species